AAAAAAAAAAAGAGAUUUUAAUUCUUACCAUAUUACUAGUUUAAAGCUUUUAAACAUCAAAUCAUUUUGAAUAAGCUGUCUAUACACACACAUUACAUUCAUUGCCUACUUUAUGCACAUCUAUGCCUCUUAAAGAUAUAUCAUAUUUGAGAUGAAGACAAAAAUAAAUAUGCACUCUGUUAGAAUAUUCUACUUUUUUUUUUUUUUUUUUUUUUGCUUUUUAGGGCUGCACCCGAGGCAUAUAGAGUCUCCCAGGCUAGGGGUCCAAUUGGAGCUACAGCUGCUAGCCUACGCCACAACCACAGCAACGCCAGAUCAAGCCACGUCUUAGACCUGCACCACAGGUCAUGGCAAUGCCAAUCCUUAACCCACUUAGCAAAGUCAAGAAUCAAACUGGCAAUCUCAUGGUUCUUUGUCGGAUUUGUUUCCGCUGUGCCAUGAUGGGAACCCCAUACAUUCUACUUUUAAUUUCUCCUAGCUCUUCUUCCCCUGCCUCUUAGGAGACAUAAAAAGGUGGAGAGAGGAGUUCCCAUUGUGGCGAAGCAGAAACAAGUCCAUCUAGUAACCAAGAGGUUGUGGGUUCACUCCCUGGUCUCGAUCAGUGGGUUAAGGAUCCAGCAUUGCCAUGAGCUAUGGUGUAGGUUGUAGACACAGCUUGGAUCUGGCGUUGCUGUGGCUGCGGUAUAGGCCAGUGGCUACAGCUCUGAUUGGACCCUUAGCAUGGGAACCUGGGAACCUCCAUAUGCUAUGGGUGCGGCCCUAAAAGGCAAAAAAAAAAAAAAAAGGAAGAAUUUCUACAUCAUAUUAAAGCUAUCAAAAUACUGAAGGAAAUGCAAAUCAAAAUCACAGUAAGAUACUACCUCACACCCACUAGAAAUGCUUAAGAAAAAAAAAGAAAAAAGGAAAUGUGGUUAAGAUGUAGAGAAACUGGAACACUUGUACAUUGCUGGUGGGAAUGCAAAAUGGUGCAGCUACUGUGGAAGAGUCUGAGUGUUCCUCAAAAAGUUAAACAGAGAAUUAACAUAUGACCCCUCACUCCACUUUUAGGUAUAUAUCCAAGAGAACUGAAAAUAUAGUUAUAUAAAAAUUAUACAUGAGUGUUCAUGGCAGCAUUAUUCAUAAUAGCUUAAAAGUAGAGACAACACAAAUGCCCAUCUGCUGAUGAAUGGAGAGACAAGGUGGGGGAUACCCACACAAUGCAAUAGUAUUUACAGUCAUAAAGAGGAAUGAAGGACUGAUACGUGCUACAAACACAGGUGAACAUGGAUGAAACUUGGAAGCAUUAUGUUACGUGUAAGAAGCCAGACACAAAAGGACUCAAUAGCAUAUGAUUCUAUGUGCAUGAAAUGUCCAGUAUAGGCAAAAGCACAGAGACAGAAGGUAGAUUGGGGGCUGCCAAAGGCAGGAUGAAGGAUGAGCAAAGAGCUCUUAAUGGGGAUGCAGUUUCUUUGAGGGGUGAUAAAAAUGCUCAAGAAUUACAUAAUGAUCAUGGUUGCACAAAACUGAAUACACUAAAAAACAAUGAAUUCUACACUUUAAAAUAGUUAAUAUUAUGAUGUUUUUUAUUUCAAUUAAAAAAUAAAUAAUUGGGGAAGAGAAAAAACUACUGAAGACACUGAGAACAUUCUGAACCUAUAUAUUUGGUAAGUCAUUUUUAACGCACAACUUAUCUACACACUGUGCCUUUGAAAAACCCCUCUCCUAUUGUACUUCUUUCAAUCGGGAGUUCCCAUCAUGGCUCAGCAGAAACGAACUUGAUUAGCAUCCAUGAGGACACAGGUUCGAUCCCUAGCCUCGCUCAGUGGGUUAAGGAUCUGGCAUUGCCGUGGGCUGUGGUGUAGGUCAAAGAUGAGGCUCUGAUCCCGAGUUGCUAUGGCUGUGGUGUAGGCUGGCAGCUACAGCUCUGAUUGGACCCCUAGCCUGGAACCUCCAUAUGCCAUGGGUACAACCCUAAAAAGACAAAAAAAAGAGACCAAUUUCAAUUGAGUUCAUAGGACUGGAACAUACAUAGAUGAGGGUCCUGCCCCAAGGAACUUACACUGUAUUGGGGCUAACACUGUUACAUUUCAGUAACUCCCACAUCAGCAAACUGAGGUUGGCCACACUCCUCUAGAGUGAUGGCAUCCAUUUCCUACAGACAUUUACUCAAAAGAAGUGAGCAAGUGCCAUACCACCUGCAAGGCAAUAUCUCUGAAUCCCAAAGGCAGGCAGUGCAGGGCCCGCCCAGGCUGCCAGGCUGUUUCUACCCUCUCCCCAGCACAAGAGGACUUGUUCACAGGAAAUUUAAAUCCUUACUGGCUCCAAGGCAACAUGUUACAGUGGCUGACUAGGUAGCUCACAACUUGGUGAUUUGUAGCUUUAAAAAGAUAAAUUACUUAUUUAUAAAUAAUAGUCUUUCUUGAGAAUGCAAUUAUUGCCCUGAGUCAUCCAACAAAAUUAAACUGCAAACUACGGACUACUAAAGUCAGGGAAGAAACCUCCACCAGGUACCAAGCAAGCACUUCAUCAAGGGUCACAGAAAACUGUUGAAAACAAGAAAUAGCAUGUUGGGAAUUUUAGGAAGACAGCAUAGUUUAAAUUAGUGCUUCUCUAUACUUCAAAUAUCAUAAUCACUCAAAUAAUUCACAGUAACCACUUGGCACCCAGACUGGGACAGAAGCUGCUGGACAGGGACGAUUCCCAGUGGUCUAUGACAAUGAUAGCUGAGAUUAAGGCUAUUGGGGUUGAUUUUGCUAUCUUUGCUCUUAUAGGUAAUUCACAUCUUUAUACUUUUUGUCAAAAUGCAGCAGCUUAAUUCUCUCAUUAUUUUAAAUAUAACUGGAAAAUCAAUUGUCCCUGCUUAUUGGUGGUUAGGGGUACAGGUUUUGAAAACCUAAUAAUAAGAAAAUGGAAAUAAGAGAGCAGCUCAACUAGUAUUCUUUUAUUAAUUUAACAAACUUAAUUCAUUAACUGACCUAACCAACAUUCAUUUAACAUCUACCAGAUACAAAGGAUACAGAAUAAGUAAUUAGGUCUUUUGAAGAAUUCACACUCCAGCAGUAGGUUUAACAAAAUCACCUGCUUUGACUUUAAAACAAAGACAAUACAGAGUUCCACAGGGCCUCAUCUUAGGUGCCACAAACCGAGCCUGGAAAGCCGAGGUUAACUCAAUCAAGCUGGUGACACACAGCAGACAUCCUUUUCCUCCUCAUUGUCAUCCUCCCUGACUCCUGGGGAUUUCUUCCCUUCAAUUAGAAGGUCAGGUUGCUCAACAUCUGAUCCCAGCCAGAAACUGAAGAUUAUGGUCUAUCAGCCCGUUUUAAUGUAAAGUCACUUCACGUGGUGGUAAAUCUUUUAAGUUCAACUAGACAAAGAUACUGCAUCCCUGGGUAGAUUCCAAUCCAAGGACAGUAAAUGAAUAGGAUUCCACUGGGAGUUAGUAAAACCACUCAUCCUGUCUCUGAGGCCUGCCCACCUUAGCCACCUACUCCUCCCAGAGGCAAAUAAACCCAUCAUGCCACCUUUUCUUCCUAUGUUGAAUACAGUGGCUUUUUUUUUUUAAAGCACCAGACCAUUUGGCCAUGAUCUAUGGCCCUCUGUAAACCCCAAGUGGUGAGGUCAAAGGGUGUCGGUAGUGAGCAAAUUAAGAGGCGAGGAAGUGAGCCCACCUGCAAAACAACUACUGGCCCGCUUGUGGUGGGGAGGGUUGCUAAGGAAUCAUGGACAAGGAGCUUUCCCCAGGAUUGGGGUGUGGGGAAAGGAAGGGCAAAGUCAAGAUUGUUAUAGUAAAACUAUAUUCAGGUUGAAAGAGAGCCCUUAAUUCUUCCCCAAACUGAACUUCUAAUGUGCCCCAAAAUACACUGAACUUCCAAGUUCUACCUGGAUCUGCACUGUGGUUCAGUGAGGUCAGCUUGAUGGGUCCCCAGGCCACACUCCCAAGGUGUUCACCCUGUGUGUGACGAACCCAGGGGUCACAGAAUCCUACACAGUUGAUAAGGACCUUUGACGACCAAUAAAAACUGGUCGGUCAGUCUGAAAAAUCAACCCUGGACAAAGAGGUUCUCCUCCAUCCAAAGACCCUGAGCAUGCCCAGGUGUCCAGGAGGUUUAGAGUGAAUGAUCAAGGACACAGGCUCUAGAGCCAACUAUCUGGCUUCAAAUCCUGGCUCCACAUUUAACAGCAAUGGCAGCCUCCCUAUGACUCAACUUCCCUACCUGUAACUGGAAGGUAAUAAUGGCGUCUGCCUCCUAGGAACACUUGGAGAAUAAAAUGAGAUUACAGUUGAAGAGCUUUUCACAGUGGCUGUCACACAAUAAACACUGAGAAAAUAUGUGCUAACACAUCCACCAUUUCCAGAGGUAACCUGAACUGUCACUCAGUUCCUAAACUGCAAUGACAACAAGUACUAGUCUUUGACUGGACCAGUU
rnacentral:lncRNA from 1 species